UUUCUGGUCUGUGGCAAACUGUCGCAGUUAACGCUCGGAGGAGGUUGGUUGUGCAGGCGUUGUUUCGUUCAUGAUGCCCCAAGAUUCUCUUCUUCCACUGCACGUAACAGGGGAGCUUGCAGCGUGUCGGGUAGUGGGGAAGAGCGGACGCAGAUGGAGUUCUUGAUGCAACCAAUUAAUAGCCGUAGGUAAGGUGGAGCAAGCAUCGGUGCGUCAUUAACUCAUUACCCUGUGAUCGCGUCCACGAGAGAGUUGGAGCAAGCGACAGCGGCGGCCCUGAGUGCGGACAUGCAGAUCUGUGAGGCGGAAGCGGUGGUGGCUGCACAAAGGGAUAGCUCACCGCAAGCGCCCGAACAAUUAAUCCGGCAAGCACCUGGAUAGAAGCGCAGGUGUGUUUCUGCUUGCAUAUUAUUUGUGUCUGUCAGAUGUUUGUUUUUUUAGCAUGGGCUUGGUUGAUAAAAGACUGUCAAGGGCUCAAGGCUAGUAAAUUUGUGCAGCUAAUUCUAAUUUUAUGCAUGGUUGAGCUCAUGCGUGACAGCAAGUGUUAAAAGAGAUUUGCUCCCACAAGUUGGUUCAAAUUUAUGACUACAAACAGUGUAUAUGACCCUAUUUUAUCAUGAUGUAUGUUGUUUGGUGACUUAAUUUUAGGCAACACAUAGUCUUGAUAUGGAUCCAAUUUUUUUGACAUCAUACCAGGAGAGUUGUAGUUAGUUAGUACUCCCUCCAUUUCAAUGAAUAAGUGUGCACACAUUUCAAAAUUUAGUCGCUGAUAGCAUGUGAAGCCCGAUUCAAGUAUAUGGACAAUAUCAAUUUAUUUAUGGUGCUUAUGAAUAUGUACAUGCAUAUCAUGGACCUGGUACAUUUGAAUAUGUUCAUGCAUAUUGUGGAGCUGGUUGGACUAGGUGACACUAGUGUUGAGGCUUACUACCGUCUCAUUGCUUUGUUCAAGUACUGCAUGGUGUAAAAUGCAACCAUUCACAGAUGCUGGAGAUGGGCUAUGUUUGGAGGAUAGGAUUGCUCAAAAUGGAGUUUUUAUCAAACAUAUAUAUGGAGGUGAAAGGAGGUGUUGCGCAAAUCGUGCGACUGAUGUACUGCAUGAUGCAAUCAGUGGCAACAAUAAUUUAACUAAUGUGCCAGGCAAUGAUAGGUUUAUUGGCUCCUGCUAAGAGCAAGGAGAUGGGUCGACCAACGACGAGCAGGGGUUGAAGAGAAACAGAUUUUGCACCAUUUGUCGGUGGCAAGGUCACAAGAGGACACGAGAGAAACAGAUUUCGGCAAUGUUCCAAAGCAGCAUCAGAAACCUGCAAGAACAAUGGAGUUGAGGGACUCCGUCCAAAGAAUUGUACCAGGUCUGCCGAAUUAAGGUUGACGGGAGAAAACAUAAUUUUGAUGCCAAGAGGAGCUUAGUUUAUCUGUUACAGAUUUUGCGAGGGUGUUUGUAUUGUUGUUUUAGGUUGCUACAGAGAGUGCUUAGUUUAUGUGCUUAAUGACCAGUCAUUAAUUGUUGUUUGUGAAAUGACAAGAUCAGGACUAAAAUUCAAUGUUUCUGUGUUAUACCUUUA